rnacentral:rRNA from 1 species
UACGUAGGGCGCAAGCGUUGUCCGGAAUUAUUGGGCGUAAAGAGCUCGUAGGUGGCUUGUCACGUCGGGUGUGAAAGCUUGGGGCUUAAUUCCAGGUCUGCAUUCGAUACGGGCUGGCUAGAGGUAGGUAGGGGAGAACGGAAUUCCUGGUGUAGCGGUGAAAUGCGCAGAUAUCAGGAGGAACACCGGUGGCGAAGGCGGUUCUCUGGGCCUUACCUGACGCUGAGGAGCGAAAGCGUGGGGAGCGAACAGG